UACGAGUGCCCCAGGCGUUAUCCGGAAUUAUUGGGCGUAAAGGGUGUGUAGGCGGUUUGGUUAGUCUCUCGUUAAAGCUCCCGGCUUAACCGGGGAAGUGCGAGAGAAACGGCCAAACUAGAGGAGGUGAGGGGUCUAUGGAACUCUGGGUGUAGGGGUGAAAUCCGUUGAUAUCCAGGGGAACACCGAAAGCGAAGGCAGUAGACUGGCACCUAACUGACGUUGAAACACGAAAGCGUGGGGAUCAAACGGG
rnacentral:rRNA from 1 species